rnacentral:lncRNA from 1 species
ACUGAGAAGAAGAUUGCAGAUGCCGGGGAGCCCUUUUGUUUCUUUCAGAUAGGAACAACAAUUUUCAUUCACAAAGCAGAUUAAAACUCAUCUUUCAAAUGGAUUCACUGUGUUGCCCCCGCUUUGUGUGCAAACGAAAUCACUGUGAUCAGGUGUGGGCAUGAAGUAGCACUAAAUGUUGUUGAUUAGGACAGAAUCACCUGUUUUUAAAGCCCUGCUGGGGGUUGGAAGCCAUUUGCUCCUCUUGUGUUUCUAAGCCUGAGAAGAUCCACGAUCUCCGUGAGUGGGUACUUUAGAUGGGUACAUUCAGUGGUGGCAAUAUCGAGGAGAAUCUGAAGAUUUCGGAGCAAGCUGAAGGGCACGUGAAUAAAUCUACCUAGAGAGAAAACUGAACAUCCAGACUGGUCUUCCGUAACAGCUGCGAAAGGUCAAACCAAGACCUGAAGACUGAAUUCCAUGUCUGAAGCGGGGGCAUUUUCUUUUCCGUAACAGAUUGAGAGCCUAAGCCCAUUGCCAUUAAGAUGAUGGGCUGCUUUUUCAUCAUGACCAGCAGGCCAAGGUUUGCUCACAAGGUUUUUGGGAACUACAAACCUGUGAACAGUAUGGCAGGGAUGCUGGCUACAUCUGUGUGAAUAAAUUAUCUUGUGAGAUUGCUGAUUUUUAUCAGAGAAGAAGACAGCAAGACAGUUUUGUCAAGUUAUCUUAAAGUGCAGUUUCCUCUACCACUGAAAAAUUAUUUUGAAAAUCAUUUUAGAUUGCUAGAAAAAUACAGUUAUCUGGAACCUAUCUCAUUUAGCUCUUUUAACCCCUUAAAAAUGAAGAGAUAGAUAUGCUUAUAUCUGAGUACUUUUGAAAAUCUUUUGUUACUUUUAAUGUUCUCUUCUCUUACAUUUGUCACUAUAAGAAAUUAAUAUCAAAUAUGGUCAACUUGCUGUUUUAUUCUUCUUUUCCCACCCUUCUCUUCAAACCUCCCCAGUUUCACCUGAAAUUGUUCAACUCUUCUACUCCUGGCUCUUUUGUGAAUAUUUAGUCAUAUAUCAAAUACUGACUGACUUAAACAAUUGUGACAGUCCAAGUAAGUGUGCAUGCCCAAAUGUUGAAGCCUGGAAAAAACAAGCUAGACAAAUAAACAGUCCUUGGUCCAAAG